UUAAAAUCAACCCAUUUAGAUGUAUUUUUGUAUAAUCAGAUCCAAUGAUUUGCUUUGCAUCAGGGUCGACUGUUUGCUGUACUUUGACCACUGACACCCCAGCGAGUCCAACUGAAAGAGGUCAAAGCUCCACAGAAAGUGAUGUGGAAUCAAACAGUCAAGAAAGCAUUCUGGUGGGGCAAUUAUGGCAGGCAGCA